UACGUAUGUCCCGAGCGUUAUCCGGAUUUAUUGGGCGUAAAGCGAGCGCAGACGGUUGAUUAAGUCUGAUGUGAAAGCCCGGAGCUUAACUCCGGAAUGGCAUUGGAAACUGGUUAACUAGAGUGCAGUAGAGGUAAGUGGAACUCCAGGUGUAGCGGUGGAAUGCGUAGAUAUCUGGAAGAACACUCGUGGCGAAGGCGACCUACUGGACUGUAACUGACGUUGAGGCGCGAAAGUGUGGGUAGCAAACAGG
rnacentral:rRNA from 1 species